ensembl:lncRNA
GUUGAAUGUUUUAUACACAGAUAUCAUAGUCAGAGUGGGGUUAUACUAAAAAGAUGCUGUUUUCCUGCAUCCUUGUAUCUAAAUAACAUCUUGUGGCAUUUUUGAAUGUAUAAGGGAUGAUUAUUUUUUGACUUAACCAAAUAUUUAUAUUCAUCGAGAUUUAUACAUAUAGUCAUACACAAUUUAUAAUAACUUGCAGUUAGAAUUACUAUGGUAGAAAACAAAUGUGAAAUUCUUCUGACCUCUAGUGGAGAUGAUAAGUAGUAAAUCAAAAGGGCCUCAAUAAGGAGUAAAGUGGUUCAAGAAUUCAAGCUUAAGACUGUCAGACUGGCAGCAAAAUGACCUGGAAAAAAGAGAGGCUAAUAGCCAAAGCAAAAGAUGCUAUCAUCAAGGGCAGAUUCUGUUCUCAUUCAGACACACCAACCCUCUAAACAGCUGAUAUGUGGAGUUGUUUCUUACAGUCAUGGUUGGAUUUCUGGACCAGUGUUGGAGGUGACAGUCAGACCAGGAGACAACAUCACUGUCCACUGUGACUGCAAAUUAUCAAGUGGAGUAUACAUAGUGUGGUACAGAAACUGCUCUCAUGAGAACCAGCCUUCUCUUGUCCUUAACAUUCGUUCAUUUGUGGGCCCAACUAAGAAUCUGAGAAUAUUCCAUCAUUUUCAGUUUGUGAGAAACGAUUCCUCUGCCUCCUAUGACCUGCUGAUCAUGAACAUCACUGAUUCAGAUGAGGGUCUCUACUACUGUGGAACUGAAAAGCAAAAAGUGGAGAAAACAGAAUACAGUACUCACAGAUAUGAUUACGGAUAUGGCAACGUCACAACCAGGAUCAUAUUAGACUCCAGCAGGCCUCAUCACACGGAGACUCCACAAGACUGUAGUGUGUGCUGGAUGCUUCUGUUCUCUCUGUGUCCAGCUUUUGCUGUUCUCUCCUCUCUCCUCUCCUCACUCUUGGUUUAUCACAUCUGUCAGAAAAAAGCUAAAGAACGUCGAGUUGAUCAACAAAAACCUGAAACUAGAGGUCAAACAAGACUGAAUCAGGAUGAAGAUGUGUGUUAUGCUGCACUGGAAAUCCGUCAGCCAUCACGAAGACCAAGGAAGAAGAAAACCCAGAGUUCUGACUUCAGCACGUAUUCUGCCAUCAAGACUUCUAGGGUGUAGAGGGUCUAAAACAAACAAGUGCAAAAAACAAAAACAUGACCAUUCUGUCAGUUAUCUACUAAAAACUUAAAGCUGAGCAACAAUCACUGUUAUCUAUGACAUUAUACAUGAGAUAAAUGGUAUGUACAAAGAGUUUUAUUCUUUGCAUCAGUGAAUUCAGGAUGUUAUCCGUUACUUAUUCUUUUUUAUAUAUAUGUAUGUAUAUAUAUAUUAUAUGUAAUUGCUGUUAAACACUGCCGUUUUACAUUGUUUCAUAUUGUUCUAUCCACACUGUGUCAUAAUCCACAGUCUAUGUGAAUUCAUCCAUUCUUCCCAGAAUAUUUUUGUAUAAAUGUGUGUAUAUAUAUUUCAUGUAUGUAUGUUAAAAAAUAAAUAGCAUAUUACAUGAUGUGCUCUAAAACUAAAAAAAUAA